AGUGAACGCUGGCGGUAGGCCUAACACAUGCAAGUCGAACGGCAGCACAGUAAGAGCUUGCUCUUACGGGUGGCGAGUGGCGGGCGGGUGAGGAAUACAUCGGAAUCUACUUUUUCGUGGGGGAUAACGGAGGGAAACUUACGCUAAUACCGCAUACGACCUACGGGUGAAAGCAGGGGAUCUUCGGACCUUGCGCGAAUGACAGAGCCGAUGUCGGAUUAGCUAGUUGGCGGGGUAAAGGCCCACCAAGGCGACGGUCCGUAGCUGGUCUGAGAGGAUGAUCAGCCACACUGGAACUGAGACACGGUCCAGACUCCUACGGGAGGCAGCAGUGGGGAAUAUUGGACAAUGGGCGCAAGCCUGAUCCAGCCAUACCGCGUGGGUGAAGAAGGCCUUCGGGUUGUAAAGCCCUUUUGUUGGGAAAGAAAAGCAGCAGGUUAAUACCCCGCUGUUCUGACGGUACCCAAAGAAUAAGCACCGGCUAACUUCGUG
rnacentral:rRNA from 1 species